rnacentral:rRNA from 1 species
CCUACGGGUGGCAGCAGUGAGGAAUAUUGGUCAAUGGACGUGAGGCUGAACCCGCCAAGUAGCGUGAAGGAUGACUGCCCUAUGGGUUGUAAACUUCUUUUAUAUGGGAAUAAAGUGUUCCACGUGUGGGCGUUUGUAUGUACCAUAUGAAUAAGGAUCGGCUAACUCCGUGCCAGCAGCCGCGGUAAUACGGAAGGUCCGGGCGUUAUCCGGCUUUGUUGGGUUUAAAGGGCGCGUAGGUGGGUUGUUAAGGCAGGUGUGAAAUUUUGGGGCUCAACCGUGAGAGUGCAGUUGAAACUGGCGGUCUUGAGUACAGGAGAGGUGGGCGGAAUUCGUGGUGUAGCGGUGAAAUGCUUAGAUAUCACGAAGAACCCCGAUUGCGAAGGCAGCCUACCGGAGGGCAACUGACACUGAGGCUCGAAAGCGUGGGUAUCGAACAGGAUUAGAUACCCGGGUAGUC